rnacentral:lncRNA from 1 species
AGAGAGAGGAGGGAAAUUAACCCUUUAAUUAUCUCACCCUCUCGCUCUCCUUCCUCUUUCUCUCCCCACGCUGCAGAUCCCUCUCGCUCUCCUUCCUCUUUCUCUCCCCACGCUCCAGAUCCCUCUCGCUCUCCUUCCUCUUUCUCUCCCCACGCUCCAGAUCCCUCUCCUUCUCUCCCCACGCUCCAGAUCCCUCUCCUUCUCUCCCCACGCUCCAGAUCCCUCUCUCUCUCCUUCCUCUUUCUCUCCCCACGCUCAAGAUCCCUCUACCUCUCCUUCCUCUUUCUCUCCCCACGCUCCAGAUCCCUCUCACUCUCCUUCCUCUUUCUCUCCCCACGCUCCAGAGCCCUCUCACUCUCCUUCCUCUUUCUCUCCCCACGCUGCAGAUCCCUCUCACUCUCCUUCCUCUUUCUCUCCCCACGCUCCAGAUCCCUCUCGCUCUCCUUCCUCUUUCUCUCCUUCUCUCCCCACGCUCCAGAUCCAUCUCACUCUCCUUCCUCUUUCUCUCCCCAUGCUCCAGAUCCCUCUCACUCUCCUUCCUCUUUCUCUCCCCAUGCUCCAGAUCCCUCUCGCUCUCCUUCCUCUUUCUCUCCCCACACUCCAGAUCCCUCUCACUCUCCUUCCUCUUUCUCUCCCCACGCUCCAGAUCCCUCUCGCUCUCCUUCCUCUUUCUCUCCCCAUGCUCCAGAUCCCUCUCCUUCUCUCCCCACGCUCCAGAUCCCUCUCGCUCUCCUUCCUCUUUCUCUCCCCAUGCUCCAUAUCCCUCUCGCUCUCCUUCCUCUUUCUCUCCCCACGCUCCAGAUCCCUCUCACUCUCCUUUCUCUUUCUCUCCCCACGCUCCAGAUCCCUCUCGCUCUCCUUCCUCUUUCUCUCCCCAUGCUCCAGAUCCCUCUCGCUCUCCUUCCUCUUUCUCUCCCCACGCUCCAGAUCCCUCUUGCUCUCUCUCCUCUUUCUCUCCCCACGCUCCAGAUCCCUCUCGCUCUCCUUCCUCUUUCUCUCCCAACGCUCCAGAUCCCUCUCACUCUUCUUCCUCUUUCUCUCCCCGCGCUCCAGAUCCCUCUCGCUCUCCUUCUGUCCCCACGCUCCAGAUCCCUAUCGCUUUCCUUGAGGUUCAGGGUGAUUAAGUGUACAUACAAUAAAUGGCACACAUCUCAUAAAAAGAGCAGCAUAAAUUGUUUAAGUGAGAGCCGAUGUGCCCUUGAGGCAAAAUGA